rnacentral:rRNA from 1 species
AUAACAGCUGGAAACGGCUGCUAAUACCGCAUAAGCGCACGAGGAGACAUCUCCUAGUGUGAAAAACUCCGGUGGUACAGGAUGGGCCCGCGUCUGAUCAGCUGGUUGGCAGGGUAACGGCCUACCAAGGCAACGAUCAGUAGCCGGUCUGAGAGGAUGAACGGCCACAUUGGAACUGAGACACGGUCCAAACUCCUACGGGAGGCAGCAGUGGGGAAUAUUGCACAAUGGGGGAAACCCUGAUGCAGCAACGCCGCGUGAGUGAAGAAGUAUUUCGGUAUGUAAAGCUCUAUCAGCAGGGAAGAUAAUGACGGUACCUGACUAAGAAGCUCCGGCUAAAUACGUGCCAGCAGCCGCGGUAAUACGUAUGGAGCAAGCGUUAUCCGGAUUUACUGGGUGUAAAGGGUGCGUAGGUGGCAGUGCAAGUCAGAUGUGAAAGGCCGGGGCUCAACCCCGGAGCUGCAUUUGAAACUGCUCGGCUAGAGUACAGGAGAGGCAGGCGGAAUUCCUAGUGUAGCGGUGAAAUGCGUAGAUAUUAGGAGGAACACCAGUGGCGAAGGCGGCCUGCUGGACUGUUACUGACACUGAGGCACGAAAGCGUGGGGAGCAAACAGGAUUAGAUACCCUGGUAGUCCACGCCGU